UACGUAGGGUGCAAGCGUUUGUCCGGAAUUAUUGGGCGUAAAGAGCUCGUAGGCGGUUCGUCGCGUCGGCUGUGAAAACCCGAGGCUCAACCUCGGGCCUGCAGUCGAUACGGGCGGACUGGAGUUCGGUAGGGGAGACUGGAAUUCCUGGUGUAGCGGUGAAAUGCGCAGAUAUCAGGAGGAACACCGGUGGCGAAGGCGGGUCUCUGGGCCGAUACUGACGCUGAGGAGCGAAAGCGUGGGGAGCGAACAGG
rnacentral:rRNA from 1 species